AUUUCUAUGGUUCAACCUCGACAUGGAAAAGAUGAAUGAAUUUUAAUUCGAAAGAAUCUUACCCCACGACAUAUUUAAAUUUUAGAGUAUUGUUAAAGUUAAAAAAUUAUUUAAAAUGUUUGUUAACUUUACAAGCAUGGCUUAAUGGAUUUUUUUUAAAAAUAAUGUCUUUUGGGAAAGUAUUUUAAAAAAUAGGGUAGUUGGGAAAGUAUUUUCAAAAAUAGGUGACUGAAGUCGUGUACGGGGUACACGACUUCCACAAAUCGAUUUGGUGUCGUGGACCGGGCUUACGAUAUCCGAGUGGAGUCGUGGACCCGGCCCACGUUUUCUGACUGGAGUCGUGUACCCGGUACACGACUCCCGUACAGCUGGCACAUUUUGUCGCGUAUGGUGGAAGUCGUGUACCCCGUACACGACUUCCGUACAAUGAGUCAACGGUCAACAGUCCAGUCAACCGUAGGGUUCACGGGUGGAUGUAGGGUGCAGAGGGAGCGGACACAUGUCGCGCAUGUAGGAAGUUUUAAUAUGAUUUAUAAAUUACCCGACGCUUCAUGACACCUGAUGGCGCUUACUGUUAUCGCAUGAAUAAUUUUGUUGAAGACGUACGUCGAGUCUCCAUGGAAAACAAUUUUGAAAUUUUUAGUCCAAUGUGUGACGAAGUCAUGGCAGAUAUAGACAGCCUUGUUCAGCGGACUCGACGUUUAAAUGUUGCCGACACAGAUCGUAGACGCAUUCGACGGCGACGACGACGACAAGGCGAUGAUGUCGUAGAGGGAGAUGGGGAAGCUUCUUAAGUUGUAUAAUUUAAGUGUUUUUAAAUUUUGCUAGAACUUAUUCAAGUUGUAUAAAUAAAAAGUUGAACUUUUUUAAA